AUCCAACUGACGAGUCUCAGGUGGGGCGAAACGUGCGUACUGGAU
rfam:Schistosoma curassoni strain Dakar, Senegal genome assembly, scaffold: SCTD_scaffold0000347